UAACAUGCGCGCGAGUCGUUGGGUCGGACGCGCUCCGCUAAACCCGCAGGCGCAAUGAAAGUGAAGGCUUCCCUUUGCGGGGCCGAGGGAGGACGGAGGCCCCUCCUCGGAGGGCCUCCUGCACUCCCGGGGCGUCUGACCCCUCAUUGCGAGGGGAGGCGCACCCAGAGCGCACACGUUGGGACCCGAAAGAUGGUGAACUAUA
rnacentral:rRNA from 1 species